ACGGAAUAGAUACCCAGGUAGUCCCAGCCGUAAACGAUGCUCGCUAGGUGUCAGGCAUGGCGCGACCGUGUCUGGUGCCGCAGGGAAGCCGUGAAGCGAGCCACCUGGGAAGUACGGCCGCAAGGCUGAAACUUAAAGGAAUUGGCGGGGGAGCACAACAACGGGUGGAGCCUGCGGUUUAAUUGGACUCAACGCCGGACAACUCACCGGGGGCGACAGCAAUAUGUAGGCCAAGCUGAAGACUUUGCCUGAAUCGCUGAGAGGAGGUGCAUGGCCGUCGCCAGUUCGUACUGUGAAGCAUCCUGUUAAGUCAGGCAACGAGCGAGACCCGUGCCCACUGUUACCAGCAUGUCCUCCGGGACGAUGGGUACUCUGUGGGGACCGCCUAUGUUAAAUAGGAGGAAGGUGCGGGCC
rnacentral:rRNA from 1 species